ensembl:lncRNA
CUGGCAGCUGCAGCUUCUCUCUUCCAGGCCCUGCUGCCCUUCACUGAGUGCCAGCAAGUAGCUGGGUGUGAGAGGGCUGUGGUGCGGAUUGCUGGGCUCAGUGUGAUCUCCUGGUGAACUGCUUUUCCUCGCUGAAGGACCGCUUCCGCUUGGCAAGAAGCAGGGACGUCAGCCCUGCCCACUACAGCAAGCUGCAUUUCCUGAUCGUGGGGAAGCUGGUGGGGGAUCUCAUCUUGUGCUGCGCUGACACGGAUGAGGGGAGCAGUCACAGGGCUGCCGACGCGCUUCGUCACCUGCACAGGUUCCUCCUGCAGCAAAGAAGUAAGAGCAUCUGCAUAGGGCUGGGUCCUUCCAGAUACGGACCCCCAGGCAAGGCCAGGCAGGGAGCUGACCCAGGACAGCCCGGAGCAUCUAGAGUCCCAAAAAGACUGGGAAGCCACCGACAGCUUCAGGCUUUCACGGUCCAGCAAUGCUGUCGAAAUCACCAAGGUAAGGUGCGCCUGCCCUGUGGGGACUUCUGGCCAUGGGGUCAGCAUGAGACUUGCAUGAUGAACAGAGAGGGAUCCUUAAAUCAGUGGGGCUAACAGGGCCUU